UCUCCAUUUCGCACACUCUCUCGCCGGUCAGAGAGGCGAGAGAGUGUGCGAAAUGAAGAGG
rnacentral:pre_miRNA from 1 species